rnacentral:lncRNA from 1 species
UGCCUUAACCCAUGGGAUUACAUGCAAAAAUUAAUAUGGAGCGUGUAAGGGUGUUGGGACACCAAGAGUUGGUGCCCCUUGAUGUCUUGUGUGGUGCCCCUUCAUCCUUUAUUUAAGGGAUGACCCAUAUGGCAUAAAAUUUAUCCAAAAUUUGUUUUGGACAUGGUAUUAGAUUAGAAAGAGGUGAUAAAAAUCUAAAGUAAAAAUAGAAAGGAAAAGGGAG